rnacentral:Y_RNA from 1 species
GGCUGGCCCAAAGGUAAUGAGUUAUUUCACUUGAUUGUUCACAGUCACAGAUUGAACUCCUUGUUCUACUACUUCCCCCGUUCUCACUACUGCAGUUGACUGGUCUUAA